GCCGUCUCUCUCUCCCUCUUUCACAAAAUUUUUGGUUUUCCCCCACUUCUACCUCUCAUGGUAGACUGCACGAGGUUAUUAAUAGAAACACCUAGGCGGCCGAGAUGGGAUCUAGGCUAGCAUUAGGACAUUGCAUUUUCGUUACCGUAAUAAGUGCACUUGCACGAUAAAUUUAUUUUCUUUGGAUUUUCAUUUAUUGUAUCAAACAUAAUUACUUUUUCGAAAUCACCGUUUUCGCAUUUAUUAAAGCUCUGAGUUUUAAAAUUU